rnacentral:misc_RNA from 1 species
GGUAACGAAAUAAUAACAGCAGCGAGAUCGUUACUGUAGGCUUAGCCUAGCCUACUAGUACUUUUCACUUACUUUGCCAAGUUGUAAACUCUACAAACUGAUUGAACCAUCGCUUAUUCAUGUGAAUAACAUGCAAUCAUGAGUGUACACGAUCUGAAAGACCAAGGAAACAGAUUUUAUAGCGCUAAGAAAUUCGAUGAAGCAAUAUCAUGUUACUCGAAGGCCAUAGUGAGUCACCAAAAACAUAGAGCCGGGCCGAGCCUUGCCCUAGCCGGGCACGCUUUCAGUGUUAAAAACCAGUCUUACCCAGCCCUGUUCACCAAUCGUGCAUUAUGCUACGUCAAGUUAAAAAAGUGGGCCGAAGCAGCCAAGGAUUGUCGACAGGCAAUAGAGAUGGAUCAAACACUAGUCAAAGGGCAUUUCUUCCUGGGACAGGCUUUGCUUGAGAAGGGGAUGUAUGAUGAAGCUAUAACAAGUCUAAAGAAAGCUUGUGAUUUAGCAAAAGAUCAGAAACUUAACUAUGGCGAUGACAUUACUAGUGCUCUUCGAUGUGCAAAGAAGAAACGAUGGAAUUUUCUGGAAGAGAAACGUAUCCAACAAGAUAUUGAACUCCAAUCAUACCUCAAUAGAUUAAUGAUAGAAGAUAAAGAUAGGAAACUCAAACUUGCAGAAGAUGGGAGUAAAAUCACAGAUUCAGAGAAACUAAAGGAAAAAGUACAAUUAGAACAUGAUAAACACAUGACAGAAGUAAAUUCAUUGUUUGCACAAGUAGACGAACGAAGAAUGAAACGAGACGUUCCUGAUUAUCUAUGUGGUAAAAUAAGUUUUGAGUUGAUGCGGGAACCAGUAAUAACAAGAAGUGGCAUUACGUAUGAUAGGAAGGAUAUUGAAGAACAUCUUCAGGAUGAUAUGGAAAGCCCAAUGAAGUGAGAUUAAUGACUACUUAUUGAUACGGACCCCUAAACAUGGAUGAUAUGGAAAACCCAAUGAAGUGAGAUUAAUGACUACUUAUUGAUACGGACCCCUAAACAUGGAUGAUAUGGAAAACCUAAUAAAGUGUGAUUAAUUACUAUUUAUUGAUUCUGACCCCUAAACAUGCAUGAUAUUGGAAAGUUGAAAGAAUGAGAUACAGUCAUGAAUUUAUUAUAUGGAAAGCUAACAGUCAGAUGAAUGUUUGAAUGAGCAUAUAAAAGAUUAUUUUUUUGCUUUUUUAACACCCCAUUGGCUGGUAAUCAGUUUUAGUAAUUUUAUAGUAUUAACUCUAAUUUAGUAAAACUGUUUUUUAUUUGUGUUUUAUUGAAAGUUAAUGACUUAUUUGGUUUUUAUUUUGUUCUUGUGAAAACAUAGUGAAACACACCAAUUGUAUUGACGUAACAAAAGUCUGAAGCCUUAUUUCCAGAUUGAGUCCUUCAGGUUGUGAAUUGUGAAAGAAAUCUUUUCUUGAAAGUGUCCAUAUAGCCAAUUUUGCACAAAGGAUGACAUCUUCAGUGGCUUAAAUGUCUUCAAGGAGAGUCUUAAUAGUGAUUCAGUUCGCUUUUAACAGUCCUUGGCAUUCAUAUUUUUUUAUGUUCAUUUCUUGUUUAUGUGUAUUGUUAUUGAUUCAGUUCGCUUUUAACAGUCCUUGGCAUUCAUAUUUUUUUAUGUUCAUUUCUUGUUUAUGUGUAUUGUUAUUGUCAUUUUACUGCCGAAAUUGAAUAAAUCAAAUAAAAUCU